AUGGCGGGGCGAGGUGAUUGGCGUGGGCAGAGGCCAAGCAACUCAGGCAACUCAGGCGGCGGCCGCGGAUCCUGGAUGCAAGGCCGCAGAGAUGCUGGUGGCGGGGGAUUCUGGGCGGCAGGGAGAGGUGAUGUAGGUGGUGGUGGUGCUGGCUGGCGUGGACCAACGCAACAGAGACCGCCCACUCCUCCAAUUUUCCCCACUCAGCCCAAUCCUUUGGGUGGGGGUACAUAUGGCGUGGAGCAUGGAUUUGGAGGCGGUCAACAUGGCCAGGGGGAGUAUUUAGUUGGCCGUGAUGGGCAUGGAUCUGGGCAACAUGGAAAUGGAGGUUUUGUAUCCGGGCAGCAAGGGCAGUUCUACCAACAGCCUCUAAUUCCUCCUUCAGGUAACUUUCAGACACAUCCUGCUGUUGGGUUUGGAGCAGUUCAGUUUGGCCAGAUGGGCAAUGAUGCUUUGGGUAGUUAUCAGUAUUCUGGAACUAGCAACUCACCUAAUCAACAAGGACGGGGGUAUGGUUAUACUGAUUUCAAGUCAAAUCAAUCUGGUACUAGCACUGGGCCUGCAAAUAUUGGGAGCAGAUCACAGAUGACAUGCUAUAAAUGUGAGAAUACUGGUCAUGCUGUUAAGGAUUGUCAGACUGUGUUAUUUUGCGUCAACCGCACCAAGGAUUUACACCUCUCGCGCAAGUGCUCUUUCCUGUCACAACCUAAGCCUGUUGCCAGUCUGGUUGGUAGUGUUGCUGAUGGUUUGCAGAUGUUCUCAACAAGGACCGGAAAAAAGCCAGAGCCAGAUAAAAACAAGCAGGCUAUAGCUAUUAUUACUGUGAAAAGUGCAAGCCUGACUGCGUUACAACUUGUUAACUCUCUCAGCAUGAUGUUCCAGUGGGGAUGGGAGUGGCAGGCUAAGCCUUAUCUCAGAGAUAGCUUUUUAGUCAAAUUCCCUUCCGUGAAUAAAAUUGAUGAAAUGAAGGCGUACAAUUUCUUUGGUCUGAUUGGAACAACAACUAAUAUCAAAGUGGAUAGAUGGACCAACUCUUCAACUGCAGCUUUCAAACUCUAUGUUUGCUGGGUUAGAAUAACAGGGGUUCCCGAGACACUGGAGCACUAUCAAGGUUUUUGUGAAGCUAGCUCUCUCAUUGGUUCAGUUUUGGAACUGGACAUGGAGCUCUAUAGGCAAUGUGGAGUUCUCAGGGCUAAUAUUGGAGUUAUGAAUCCUAGGAAAAUACCCUCUAGUGCUCCCCUGAAUGAAAGUGGUUUUAUCUUCAACAUAUACUUUCAACUGGAAGACAUAGUGGAGGAGGGUGGUCCUAUGGAGGAUGGUAUCUUGGUUAGCUAUCCUAGUGGUCCUGAUUCAUCUCAUAAUGCUACAGAGAAAAGACCGAGAGAGCAAAGUAACAAUGAGGAGGUGGGAUGUAGCAAAUCUCCAAAACAUGGUAUUGGGGCUGGAAGGUCGGAUAAAGGAAACACUUCAGGUUCAUCAGAGGUUGUGAUUCCGAGUCAAUACGAACUUGAUAAGAACAUGGUUGCUGAAAAUGAGGUGAGGCAAAAAUUACUUGACAAGAAGCGGGAUGCUGAAAGAGUUCUCUCUGGUGUGGAACAGGUUAAUGCUGAGUUUGCUAAUAGCGCUGCUAUGUUGGAGGAUUUCACAGAAGUGCCUGACAGCCAAAAGGAAGUAGAGUUUGAUUGCACUCAAGACCCAGAUGACUUUGCUAGGAGGCUUGGGAUUAGCACUCAAAAAGUUAAAGAAAUCAAUAAGCAGAAAAUGAGGGAGGCUGAAGCCAGAGUUCAGAAAGCAAAAGACAAGGCGGCGCUUGAUGAAGCUGCUAGGAGAAGGAGUGAAAGGCAUAAGAAUAAAGAUGAGGGGCAGACUAUGGACAAGGCUACUGAGAUGGCAAAGAAGAAAAAAUUGGAAAUGGCACCAGAGAAAAGGUGUGCAAAAAAUGCUUAG
rnacentral:rRNA from 1 species